rnacentral:rRNA from 1 species
UACAGAGGUCUCAAGCGUUGUUCGGAUUCAUUGGGCGUAAAGGGUGUGUAGGUGGCGCCGUAAGUCGGGUGUGAAAUCUUGGAGCUUAACUCCGAAACUGCAUUCGAUACUGCCGUGCUUGAGGACUGGAGAGGAGACUGGAAUUUACGGUGUAGAGGUGAAAUUCGUAGAUAUUCGCAAGAACACCAGUGGCGGAAGGCGGACUCACUGGCCCGGUACUCGACGCGU